rnacentral:rRNA from 1 species
UGCCCAAGAGAUCGGGAUAACACCUGGAAACAGAUGCUGAUACCGGAUAACAACAGAUGAUGCCUAUCAACUGUUUAAAAGAUGGUUCUGCUAUCACUCUUGGAUGGACCUGCGGUGCAUUAGCUAGUUGGUAGGGUAACGGCCUACCAAGGCGAUGAUGCAUAGCCGAGUUGAGAGACUGAUCGGCCACAUUGGGACUGAGACACGGCCCAAACUCCUACGGGAGGCAGCAGCC